rnacentral:tRNA from 1 species
GCCACGGUGGUCUAGCGGUUAGAACGCUGGGCUUGUAAUCCUGGGGUCUCGGGUUCGAUUCUCGGCGGUGCCC